rnacentral:lncRNA from 1 species
CUUGUUGCAUACAUGGGUCGGCACGGCAUGUGAUUAGGCCCCCAUAUUUAUAAUUAGAUUUUUUGUCCACAUGGCGCAUCUUAUCAUGAUGUAAUCCCAAAAAAUUUCAUAUAAAAUUUUCGAGUGCCACUUGUCUGUACAUGAUUAGCCCUCUAUUUCUUAUUUGAUUUAUGUUCUCGUGACACAUCUUAUCUUCAGCUUCAAAUGUCAAUGAAAGAGAUGUUUUGGGUUUCAUAUCUCACACCUUCAUCUGAUUCCUCUCCAAUUUCCCUCUUUCAUUUUGUAUAAUUUGUCAUUCCAAUUUAAUUCUGCAAUGGAUACCAAUUGGGGUUCCUCUUCUAAUUCCAAAUUAGAAGACCAAUGGGAGGAGCAGAAACGCCAACUGAUGGAGGAGCACGAAGAAGAUGAUGUCCGGAGGAGAGGAGACGCCAACUAAUGUAUGGUGUUUUGUGGCUUGUUUUUUGAAUUUGUAAUAAAAUUGACAAAUAGACAUUAAUCGAAAAACAAUAACUAAAACAUGUCUCCUCUCAUCUUUUUUCAAUGCUUGAUUCCAUUUGUUCAAGCUCAUAUAGAUGUGCUUUUUCCACUGACUUCCACAACUUUCAUGGUUUCUCGGGGUCACUUCAAUGGUGUCUUCGUAAAGCUCGUAAUAUUUGUGAGAAUCAUGAGUCCAAAAACCCUCCGAGGUUUGGCUAGUACUGUGUACAUUAUCUUCG